AAGUCGAACGAACUCUGGUAUUGAUUGGUGCUUGCAUCAUGAUUUACAUUUGAGUGAGUGGCGAACUGGUGAGUAACACGUGGGAAACCUGCCCAGAAGCGGGGGAUAACACCUGGAAACAGAUGCUAAUACCGCAUAACAACUUGGACCGCAUGGUCCGAGCUUGAAAGAUGGCUUCGGCUAUCACUUUUGGAUGGUCCCGCGGCGUAUUAGCUAGAUGGUGGGGUAACGGCUCACCAUGGCAAUGAUACGUAGCCGACCUGAGAGGGUAAUCGGCCACAUUGGGACUGAGACACGGCCCAAACUCCUACGGGAGGCAGCAGUAGGGAAUCUUCCACAAUGGACGAAAGUCUGAUGGAGCAACGCCGCGUGAGUGAAGAAGGGUUUCGGCUCGUAAAACUCUGUUGUUAAAGAAGAACAUAUCUGAGAGUAACUGUUCAGGUAUUGACGGUAUUUAACCAGAAAGCCACGGCUAACUACGUGCCAGCAGCCGCGGUAAUACGUAGGUGGCAAGCGUUGUCCGGAUUUAUUGGGCGUAAAGCGAGCGCAGGCGGUUUUUUAAGUCUGAUGUGAAAGCCUUCGGCUCAACCGAAGAAGUGCAUCGGAAACUGGGAAACUUGAGUGCAGAAGAGGACAGUGGAACUCCAUGUGUAGCGGUGAAAUGCGUAGAUAUAUGGAAGAACACCAGUGGCGAAGGCGGCUGUCUGGUCUGUAACUGACGCUGAGGCUCGAAAGUAUGGGUAGCAAACAGGAUUAGAUACCCUGGUAGUCCAUACCGUAAACGAUGAAUGCUAAGUGUUGGAGGGUUUCCGCCCUUCAGUGCUGCAGCUAACGCAUUAAGCAUUCCGCCUGGGGAGUACGGCCGCAAGGCUGAAACUCAAAGGAAUUGACGGGGGCCCGCACAAGCGGUGGAGCAUGUGGUUUAAUUCGAAGCUACGCGAAGAACCUUACCAGGUCUUGACAUACUAUGCAAAUCUAAGAGAUUAGACGUUCCCUUCGGGGACAUGGAUACAGGUGGUGCAUGGUUGUCGUCAGCUCGUGUCGUGAGAUGUUGGGUUAAGUCCCGCAACGAGCGCAACCCUUAUUAUCAGUUGCCAGCAUUAAGUUGGGCACUCUGGUGAGACUGCCGGUGACAAACCGGAGGAAGGUGGGGAUGACGUCAAAUCAUCAUGCCCCUUAUGACCUGGGCUACACACGUGCUACAAUGGAUGGUACAACGAGUUGCGAACUCGCGAGAGUAAGCUAAUCUCUUAAAGCCAUUCUCAGUUCGGAUUGUAGGCUGCAACUCGCCUACAUGAAGUCGGAAUCGCUAGUAAUCGCGGAUCAGCAUGCCGCGGUGAAUACGUUCCCGGGCCUUGUACACACCGCCCGUCACACCAUGAGAGUUUGUAACACCCAAAGUCGGUGGGGUAACCUUUUAGGAACCAGCCGCCU
rnacentral:rRNA from 1 species